rnacentral:lncRNA from 1 species
CGGCAUAAUAAGACACAUACAUAAUUGGUAUAUAUACAAUAAUAUUUGAAUAAUUAGCUCCGUUAACAAAAAUCAAGACCUAAAUAACUUAUAGACAAAAAAUUACAAAUUUUCAUAGUUGAUGUACAAAGCUGAUAAAUAACCAAUAAUGAGUAUGAUGGUGAUCCAUGGAACGUAACAUGUGUAUUAAUGUUAGUGACCUUCACCUCUUCCGCUAGGCCCUGAAGACAUGGUGUGGACUCGUUGGCUGUUCUUGUUUUUGAUACUACUACUAUUAUCUUCUUUAACCAUGGGCUUUGCACUUUGCACUUGUUUGACAUGUUGAUGUUGUUGUUGUGGUGGUGACUCAAUAAGGACUCUACAAGUUACAAGGCUAGGCCUUGUAGAAGCUGCAAGCACCAUGAGGAAAGCUACAACUAUGAUUUCGUUCCUCAUGAUACAAAGAAACAGA